UAAAUCUUAUUUUCAACAUGAAACCUUAUUUUAUUUUUGCUAUUAUUCAUUUUCUCAUAACAAAGCUAUUUACCACUUGUGCCGGUCUAUUCUUUUUUUUUCCGUCUUAACUAUAAACGUCCUGUUUAAAAAGUAGACGAUAGACAUAUUAGUGUUAGUAAAAUUAUUUACUUAUUUACGUAACGGCUUCACAGCUGAGCCAAAAUUGCCAUGAUUAAUAGAUAAAUAACGUGUGUCUGUGUGUACAAGUGGCAAUACAUAGAAGUUCGUAUGGAAGUUAUUCGUAUUUAUUGCUUGCUGAUCUAUUAAUAAUUGCAAACAAUCACUAUCCAAAAUGUAUCGACACUUUUUUUCUCCUUUCCACUCCUUUCACAUGACUAAUUGUACAUAUUUAAUUUUCUUCAUUAUUGUAGUUUUAUCAAAUAUGAUUACCAAAAAGAAAAAAAUGCCCCGCCCUGAAUUUAUUAAAGCAUGAUAAAAUUAGAUAUUUCGACCAUAAAAAUAUUAGUGUAGGGAGCGAUCCGUAUUUCACUUGUGUUUUACAUACAAAAAAAAAAAAAAAUUUAGUUAUGGCGAACCUCUUAAAUCCAGUCAUCAACUCGUAAAAACUCUAAUCUAAUUACAUGAAGGAGAAGCUCCCCACUGGCCACGAUACUGUGAAAAUGGAAGCCUUUCUUAUUCCUGCUCCAUUAACUCAAUCGCAUGGAGAAUAUAAUCGUGUACCAUUUAUUAAUUUACCAGAUGAAAUUAUUACUGGAGUUUAAAAUUUGAGAAAGUGGUCUUCAAUUAAAACAAAAAGAUUUUCUGUGGAUGGAUUCUCUUCAUCUGUUUCCAAUCAAGGUAAUACUUUCCCAUUGUGAGACAUGUUUUUUAUGGAAUACUGGAAACGAACAACCUCACUUAGAUGACAACAGAUGCUCAUUUACAACCCUCACAUGGUGUCUAGACAUGGGCACACACACACACACACAAACAUGCAGUAGGCUACUUUCAGUUUCUAUCUACCAAGUCUCUUCAGAAGGCCUUGGACAGCCCAGCGCUAUAGUAAAAGACACUUGCCAAGAUGCCACACAGUUAUAUAUUAUUUACAUAUCUAUAAAUUAUUUUUCAUGUUUUUUGUAUAUCCAACAUCAUGUUUUUUUUUUCUUGAUUCAGCACUAUAUCAUCAGACAUUUAUUAAAACCUAGCAAAAGUUUAUUUAAAUAUUCUUAUCUAACUCUAUCAUCUACUUGAAAAUAAUAUUUGAAAUGUUUAAAAGCCUACUUCCUACAAAAACAUACAAUGAGAAAAUAAAAGUAUAAAUUAAAAUUAAACUGCUUGGUAGAAAAUUGCUUUUUAUGUUUUACACUUCCAACUAGGUCAUGCUCUUGUUUUCUCUUGACCUACGAAGGUUACUACCACUUGUUAAUACAAUGAGAAAUUUCUUAAAAAUAGCUCACUUAAAAUAUCAAUAACUUAACCGUAGUUGUAUUUAGCAUUCUACAUUGCAUAAAAAAAGCUGUCUUGUAUUUAAUACCAAAACAAAAAACAAAAAAAACAGAAGCAACUAAUAUGGAUUAAUGACUUUAUUUUAAUUAACCAUAGAGUGUCUUAUGUGACAGCUAAUAUAUUUUGUCGUAUGGAUUGUCCUUGCAGGAAAUGUGUCCUUAUUUGAAUGCCAUAAUCAUGCAGUUUAAUUUGCUUUUACUUGAGGCUUGUACCUACAUUGAGAGGCAAACAAACUGAAUGUUCUUCAAAAUGAAAUUUGUUCUACAUUGAUGCAUCAUACUCUCAACUGCAAUAAUAUUGCAAACAUUAAUAAAUCUUCUGACAGUGAUUCUCA